CCCUUCUAGAGCCGCCGCCACACCUUCCGGUCGUUGUUGUCUUCUUCCUCUUGUUUUCCCUUCUUCCUCUUUCUUUUUCUUUUUCCUCGUUUUUCUUCCUCUUCUCCAUUCUUCUGUUCUUCUUCCUCCUCUAUACUCCUUUCUUCUUCUUCUCCUAAGUCCUGCCGCAUGGCCCCAAGAAAAGGCCUUCAGCCGCUGCCUUCGAAGCCGCGUUCCGUGGCACGAAUUCAUCGGUACAAAAAGAAGAGUGAAGGUACAAGAUUUUCCAUGACAGGAAGAAGGUGAAAGGGUUCAAACCUAAAUUGUCAAGAACUUUCUACGACUUCCGACACAUCCCAACUUAAUCGAUCUCAUCUGGGAGAGAAUGUACUCCCCGAAAUGCUUGCAAUCCAAGCAACAUCCGACGAUCCAUUAUUCUCAGCCACACCAUGAAGCUCCAUUGUAUUUUCAUUCAAAAAUGGGGGAUUUGACGGCACCGGAAGAUCUUCUUCUUUAUUCACGAGCAUUUGUAGCACCCUCGACAUGGAUGGCCGCCGCGAAGAGACUUCUUGUGUGCACAACAACCCCACAUGAACGGCUCGUACAAUCUCAUCUUUAAUGUUGUUGUUCCUUUGGUAGUUAUUCGCGAUCAAGUUUGGGUCGAUGAUUUCCUCAACUGUCCUUAGCUGGAAAUGCUUCCACACCUGAUUCAUGUUGAAUGACAGAAAUGAUUUCCAGAACAAGAACCCCGAAGCUAUACACGUCGGCUUUCUCUGUCAACUGCCCGUGGGUAAAGUAUUCGGGUGCCAUGUAUCCUCUUCAGACCAACAACAUAAGAUGUCAUGAAUAUUAAUUAAUAACCUCACGCAAAAGUUUUGAUCAGUACUAACCUUGUCUAUAAAUUUAUUGUUCGGAUUUUCUUAAGGUGGAUUUGUGUACUUACAAUGUUCCUGCGAUGGCGGUGCUUAUAUGACUUUUAUCGUCUUGGAACGACCUCGCGAGCCCGAAAUCAGCAAUUUUUGGCUGGAAUCUUGAGUCCAAGAGAAUAUUACUUGCCUUUAUAUCGCGGUGAAUGAUUCGAGCUCUCGUAUUCUCGUGGAGGUAGAUCAGUCCUUCUGUUGUCCCUAUUAUUAUUUCAAAUCUUUUUUCCCAAUUCAGUUCCUUCCCUUUGGUAGCAUC